CUUGGGGUGCGCAGUCUACGCACGCCAGGCCGUCUGUGAGGUUGCCAUCCGUACCGGCACGGGGUGGCACAGACGAAAGGA
rnacentral:ncRNA from 1 species